rnacentral:rRNA from 1 species
AUUGAACGCUGGCGGCAGGCCUAACACAUGCAAGUCGAACGGUAACAGGAAGAAGCUUGCUUCUUUGCUGACGAGUGGCGGACGGGUGAGUAAUGUCUGGGAAACUGCCUGAUGGAGGGGGAUAACUACUGGAAACGGUAGCUAAUACCGCAUAACGUCGCAAGACCAAGGAGGGGGACCUUCGGGCCUCUUGCCAUCGGAUGUGCCCAGAUGGGAUUAGCUAGUAGGUGGGGUAACGGCUCACCUAGGCGACGAUCCCUAGCUGGUCUGAGAGGAUGACCAGCCACACUGGAACUGAGACACGGUCCAGACUCCUACGGGAGGCAGCAGUGGGGAAUAUUGCACAAUGGGCGCAAGCCUGGUGCAGCCAUGCCGCGUGUAUGAAGAAGGCCUUCGGGUUGUAAAGUACUUUCAGCGGGGAGGAAGGGAGUAAAGUUAAUACCUUUGCUCAUUGACGUUACCCGCAGAAGAAGCACCGGCUAACUCCGUG